CCUACGGGAGGCAGCAGUGGGGAAUAUUGCGCAAUGAGCGUAAGAGUGACGCAGCGACGCCGCGUGAAUGACGAAGGCCUUCGGGUCGUAAAGUUCUUUCGACAGGGAAGAAAAUGCCUAUAAGUAACUGUGUAUGUAUUGACGGUACCUGUAUAAGCAGCCCCGGCUAACUCCGUGCCAGCAGCCGCGGUAAUACGGAGGGGGCGAGCGGUGUUCGGAGGGACUGGGCGUAAAGAGCACGUAGGCGGUGUUGUAAGUCAUUAGUCAAAGACUAGAGCUCAACUUUAGUAAGGCUAGUGAUACUAUAAUACUAGAGUAUCAGAGAGGAUUGCAGAAUUCCUGGUGUAGCGGUGAAAUGCGUAGAUAUCAGGAGGAAUACCGUUAGCGAAGGCGGCAAUCUGGCUGGAAACUGACGCUGAGGUGCGAAAGCGUGGGUAGCAAACAGGAUUAGAUACCCGAGUAGUC
rnacentral:rRNA from 1 species